GAUGAACGCUGGCGGCGUGCCUAACACAUGCAAGUCGAACGGACAGGCCCUGAUCUUGUGCGGUUCUCGUGUGCCGAACGGGUGAGUAUCACGCGAGUAUCCUCUCCCUGUCUUUGUGAUAUCUUCAGGAGACUGGGGCUCUUAUCCCAUAGGAUCUACUGCAGCAUGUUGGGCGUUGGUUAGUUUCGGCGGUUGGGGAUGGUCUCGCGGCUUAUCAGCUUGUUGGUGGGGUAGUGGCUUACCAAGGCUAUGACGGGUAGCCGGCCUGAGAGGGUGACCGGCCACAUUGGGACUGAGAUACGGCCCAGACUCCUACGGGAGGCAGCAGUGGGGAAUAUUGCACAAUGGGCGGAAGCCUGAUGCAGCAACGCCGCGUGCGGGAUGACGGCCUUCGGGUUGUAAACCGCUUUCGCCUGUGACGAAGCGUGAGUGACGGUAAUGGGUAAAGAAGCACCGGCUAACUACGUG
rnacentral:rRNA from 1 species